GCCAACGUGGCAUAGUGGUUUGAGUGUUGGACUAUGAUUCUGGAGGCCAGGGUUCAAUUCACUACUCAGCCA
rnacentral:tRNA from 1 species